UAUUCAAUAUAUAAUUUUUUUUGUCUGAAAACGGCUGGAACAUUCGAGUCUUAGUUGCUUUGGUCGACAAUCUGACAAAUUUUAUACUCUAUGCAAAAUUUUAAUUAUUGUAUUUUUUUCUGUGUAGAGAAAAGUCGAGGUCUGUAACAGGACACGGAACUGAAGCGGAAAAGUUCUAAGCUGCUGCUGUACGGAUAUUUUGUACUUCAGUGGAAACAACUAUUCAAGCAGCCGAAUAGUAAAUAUAAGAAGAAGAUGAUGUAAAUUACAAACACGUUCUAACAAACUGUGGCGUAUUCGGAGAAAGUAAAUUCAUAGCUUCCUCUGGAGGACACUAAAAAAUAGAAAACUGGUUUUAAAACUCUAAAAUUCUCCUGUCCCAGGACUCCAGUACGUUCAGUUCAUGGAUAUAAACAUAAAAAGCCGCUUUAUUGUCAAUUUUAAUACAUUUUGCAUUUUAUGCGAUUUGCAGGGCAACUGAAUAAUCCUUUUCUUUGUCAUAAAAAAGUUCACAGUCCUAGGGAUGGCGAAACAAAAAAUAAUGAAACAAGUAAGAAAGCUACAAUCGAGUGUGGCCCUUUAAGAUACCGGUACCCGUUUUCAAUAAAAGCGAAACAUUGCGGUAAUUUUACUACAAUAAACCAAAUGAAUAUACCGAAAAAAUAUACCGAAGGCUAUAUAUCAGAUAUGGAUAUAACUACAUAUAUAUUGACGACCAAGAUAUGUCCCACAAAGUGAAAGCUAAAACCGCCAUAAGAAUCCGAACCAUAUGAGACUCUUCUUGUUCAGCUAAUCCAUUUAUUAUUACUAUAACUUAACUUUUGAGCCAUUUAAAUCACUGCUUGAGCUUGUUUGUGACAUUUGAUUCGAGAUAACUGCAAACUGG